GCGACAUAAUGUCCAUAAAAUGUAAAUACAAUAAAUGUUAUAAAUUCCGAGUUUGAUUUUUUAAUAUUUACUGUUACAAAUUAAAUGUAUUAGUAUAAAUUAAUAAAUGUAAACUGACGAUUUUAGUAAACAAGUGAAUUUUGAAUGAAACGGAUCGAAAUAAAAAACAUAUAAAAAACUAUAUCUCGUUGUGUAAAAAUAUAAAAAAUCGCAAUGGAAAAUACGGAAUAUAAAUAUGAAAUUAUGGGGGGUUUCGUAAAAAUUCAAAACUUUUAAUUUUGACAGAUGAAAAUCAAGUUUUUCGAAAAAACAUGAAUACCUGGAGUUUACAAGAUACGUAUGUUAUUUCAAAAGCUGUAAAGUAAGUUUGUUUAAGAAAAGAUGGAGUUUGUGAGCCGUUAAACUUAGAUUUUCAGCAUAACCAUGCUCCAGCUGAAAGAUUAAUAAAUAAAUUUCGAAUAAUAAAUAAGGUAAAAAGUGUGUGUGGUGAAAAAGCAACAAUUAAAAGGAAAGGAGUGCGGGAAGUUUUUGACGGGACUUGUAUGGAAGAGAAACAACUGGCCCCGUCAGUCACAUUUCCAAAAAUGAGACGUCAACUAUACAUGAUUCGGAGUGAAAAUAUGCCAAAAAAUCCUACGGAUCCUAGUGAACUUAAAACUAUAUUUCAGAAUGAUGAAUUCUUUAAAGAAUAUGGAUAUUCCAAACAUACCGAUAAACCUCUUUAUCGAGAAACCAUUUUAGAAGACGGCUUUUCAUAUUCCAUUUUUAUAUCACCCACAAUUGCAGACGUAAUUGAGAAGAAACCAAAAGGUCGUCGAUAUUUAAUUGAUGGUACAUUUAAAACUGUUCCUUGCUGUGGUUUCAAACAGUUACUCAUUAUACAUUUCUAUUAUUUGGAGCAUACUUUUCCUUUUAUUUACAUUUUAAUGUCUAAGAGGUCGAAAGAAGUGUAUCAACACAUGUUCCAAUUCAUUAAUAAUUACUUAUUUAAAUUUGAAGCUUUGGCAUUUCAUACUGAUUAUGAAAUUGCUUUAAGGAAAGCUCUAGAAUCAACGUUCCCAACUGCGACAAUGAAAGGUUGCUGGUUUCACUACUGCCAAGCUUUAAAACGCAAGGGACAGAAAAUAACCAAUAAAAUUCACCAAAAUUAUUAAAACAAACGAGGACUGCAGCAAUUGGUAUCGUAAAAUGUUAAAUUUGCCUUUAAUAAGUCCAGAUCAUAUACAAGAAAUGUUUCUUAAUUUAAAAAAAGAUUUAUUGAGUAUGUCCAAAAGUAAGCAGGAUUGCCUAAAUAUUUUUUUAAAAUAUUUUGAAAAGGAGUGGAUGAAAAAGUACACAUGUACAGCACAAAUGUCUGAAAAGAAGAAAGAAGUUACACCUUACAUUCAAAAACUUAUAACAAAUGGCGAAGCAGCAGUUACGAUUGAUAUUUGGACCGAUAAUUUCGUUAAAAGGAAUAUUUUGUGUGCCACUUUACAUUUUCAAGUCAAUUUUAUUAAUGUUGAUCUAACACUUGGAAUAAAAUCGAUGGACUUUAAGUCAAGUACUGCAGUUAAUAUUAAAAAUAAACUAUGCUUUUGGAAGAAUUUGUAGUAUCACCCCUGGCAAAGGCGGUAUUCGUUACGGAUCGUGGAAGCAGUAUUAUUUGCGCUCUAAAUGAUUUUAGUAGAAUAGACUGCUCAGUAUAUCUUUCAAACAUUUUAAACGAUGCUUUCAAGUCAACAGUGGAAUUAAACGGAAUAACACAUUUCUGUAAAAAAUGGUUAAAUAUUUCAAAAAGGCCAACAAAAAGCACAUGCUGGACACUGAAGAACUGUAAAUAGCAUAUUAUUUUUAAAUUCUUUAUAUACAAAAAUGUUUGAUAACUAUUUUUUUAUUUAUUUAUAUUUUUUAGUUAUCAUUUUAUUAAUAUUUUCUAAAAAUUUGUUUGUUAAUAUUAU
rnacentral:misc_RNA from 1 species